GAAAUAAUUUUAACUAAGCUUCUAACUUAGAUUUUAAGCGUUUUAACGUUUUUAUUUCU
rnacentral:tRNA from 1 species